rnacentral:tRNA from 1 species
UGUGGCUCAAAUGGUAAAGCACCUACUUGGUAAGUAGGAGCCCUGAGUUCAAACCACAGUA